rnacentral:rRNA from 1 species
CCUACGGGAGGCAGCAGUGGGGGAUAUUGGACAAUGGGGGGAACCCUGAUCCAGCGACGCCGCGUGAGUGAAGAAGUAUUUCGGUAUGUAAAGCUCUGUCAGCAGGGAAGAAAGAAAUGACGGUACCUGACCAAGAAGCCCCGGCUAACUACGUGCCAGCAGCCGCGGUAAUACGUAGGGGGCAAGCGUUAUCCGGAAUUACUGGGGAUAAAGGGGGCGUAGACGGUUAAGUAAGUCUGGAGGGAAAGGCCGGGGCCCAACCCCGGGACUGCUCUGGAAACUAUUGAACUUGAGUGCAGGAGAGGUAAGCGGAAUUCCUAGUGUAGCGGUGAAAUGCGUAGAUAUUAGGAGGAACACCAGUGGCGAAGGCGGCUUACUGGACUGUAACUGACGUUGAGGCUCGAAAGCGUGGGGAGCAAACAGGAUUAGAUACCCCAGUAGUC